rnacentral:rRNA from 1 species
GGAGUUAGUGGCGGACGGGUGAGUAACACGUGGGAACGUGCCUUUAGGUUCGGAAUAGCUCCUGGAAACGGGUGGUAAUGCCGAAUGUGCCCUUCGGGGGAAAGAUUUAUCGCCCUUAGAGCGGCCCGCGUCUGAUUAGCUAGUUGGUGGGGUAAUGGCCCACCAAGGCUACGAUCAGUAGCUGGUCUGAGAGGAUGACCAGCCACAUUGGGACUGAGACACGGCCCAAACUCCUACGGGAGGCAGCAG